UCCGGGGUGGGGUAACGGCAGCCUACGGGCUUGUGGCGCCCGCGGUCCGGGUUCGAAUCCCGGCCCCGGAC
rnacentral:tRNA from 2 species